rnacentral:siRNA from 1 species
UUGCCAUUUUGAACAUGUCGUUA